UAACAAACAAACUUAGCUGGUAAAUAUUCU
rnacentral:piRNA from 1 species